UGCGGAUCGAUUCGAGGCCCAGGUCGU
rnacentral:sRNA from 1 species